AAAUGCUAACAUUCAAAUUAAUUAAAUGUGAUAAGUGAACUAAACUCAAUUUUCAUCAACCUGUUGUGAACACUACUUUUAAAUAAGUAAGUAGUAAUUUGGGGUUGGAGAACUUGCUUAACUUGAUAUAUCCCAGUUAAGUCAAAUUAGAAAAAAUAAUUUCUUGUACCCAGUGUCCUUUGGGCGUUCUAUCAGACAUGCGCAGAUCUGCCCUGCCCACUUUCGCGCUCUUUCCAACACCUUUCUCAGUUAUUUUCGCCAUUGUGGGUUUACUUGUCCUCAGCACACUGAUUUGGUAAGUACAUAUUUUACUCUUUUGUAAACCGUCGAUUUGUCUUGUUGUAGUGUAGUAGCCUGUGUGCUGCCAGGGAGGAGAAGUGUCAAUUACAUCAAAUAUCACCGCUAGCAAGCAUGCUAUAUGACCGUGACAGUAACCUCAUCAUUUUCAGAAACAAAUGUAGACUACAGUUUAUGGUAGACUCCCAUUUUAUGCCGGCCGGCGUUUUGAAUUCUUGACAGACGGGGCUCGUAACGUUUUUAGGCGAUGGGAGAGGUUUUUAAAACCGAUUUAAAACAGUUACCGAGCGGUUUUAAGUUAGCUAGACCGAGGGGAGGUUCGCUUCCUGUUUUAAAAAUAAAAACACUAAUUCUAUCGUUAGCGGGUCUUUUAUUUUGUGAAACUAACAGGAAGUGCCUUAAUCACUACGGCUAGCUUGAGUAGCGCCGAAUUUGCACGUUGUGGAUCUAAACGGCUACUUUCUCGCGUAAAAAUGUUAGAAAUGUCGAUAAAGUGAUUUAUUUACAGAGUUAGUGCUAGAAUUAAGUCAGCUUCAGCCUGUCUAUUUCGGCUCAGGUAAGAGCUAAAUGCACAGUCAGACCUUAUGUGCGCCAACGUAAUCGGUUCUUGCGUUGGAGCAGGGGUCCCCAAACUACGGCCCGCGGGCCGGCCGGAUACGGCCCGCCUCCACAAUUGGUCCGGCCCCCUGAACCCCCCCCCAAUAGUGUUAUUAUUUCCUGGCUUUUUUCUGUGAAGAACCCAGACAGGGUUAUUUGGUUAUUAUCUAUUUAAUUAAUUGUGUUAUUAUUAUUCAUUAUUAUAUGAUAUUAUAUUAUGUUAUAAUUAUUUUUAUUUUAUUUUGUUCCAAGAAGAAUUCAGAAAGGGUUAUUUAAUUAUGGCUUUCUGAAAAACAAUAAUUUUUUUACAUUUAGGCACUGCUGCAAUCGUCACACUUUUUCUGUUACAAACUGACCCGGCCCCUCAUCAGAGAAGGGAAAAGUCAUGUGGCCUUCACAGGAAAAGGAAUACAGAUCGAAAGAGUGCAGAGAUCACACUCGACGCCAUAACAACCUGGUGUGUUUAAGGCUGAAGCAAAUGGUCAAAAGUCCACACAUACCUCAGUCUCAGCAAUUACAGGUCAACCAAAGCAGUAUUCUCUAAUGCAGUGGACUUGCAAGUACUGCACAUUUUCUGCUGAAAAGAGCCUACUUGCUUAAGCAUUACCGCUUAAAACAUGGAUACCACACUCGGACAUCCCAACUCCCAUGUCUUCAUAAGGACUGCCUCUGCACAUUUAAAUCUUUUAAUGCACUCAAAGUACACCUAUCGACAUGGCACUCUCAAAAAGAUGCAGGCAAAAGUGGAGAAACUGCAUUUGACCGUCAGUUGUGCAACUUUGUGGAGCCCUGCUCAGAAGCAGACUUCUUUACCCAUUUGUCUCAAAUAUUUUUUCACAUUCAAACCUUUUUUUCUACAAUUGUUUUUUUUUUUGUUUUUUUUAAUUGAAGUGAUUUUAUUUUGAAAAUAUACAUUUUUUGUUUGAAGCAACUUAUUUUUGGAUUGAAUAAUAAAGACACAAAUGUCCUAGCCAAAAUGUGGUCCAAACGCAG